rnacentral:tRNA from 1 species
GCGCCCAUAGCUCAGCUGGAUAGAGCAUCAGACUACGAAUCUGAGGGCCGGGCGUUCGAAUCGCUCUGGGCGCACCA